rnacentral:rRNA from 1 species
AGGACGAACGCUGGCGGCGUGCCUAACACAUGCAAGUCGAGCGGAAAGGCCCUUCGGGGUACUCGAGCGGCGAACGGGUGAGUAACACGUGAGCAACCUGCCCCUGGCUCUGGGAUAGCCUCCGGAAAACGGGGAUUAAUACCGGACAUUCACUCUUCUGGGCAUCCUAGAGGGUGGAAAGUUUUUUCGGCCGGGGAGGGGCUCGCGGCCUAUCAGCUUGUUGGCGGGGUAACGGCCCACCGAAGGCGACGACGGGUAG